rnacentral:rRNA from 1 species
UACGUAGGGACCGAGCGUUGUCCGGAUUCAUUGGGCGUAAAGAGCUCGUAGGCGGCUGUUCAAGUCGAACGUGAAAACUCGGAGCUCAACUCCGAGCCUGCGUUCGAUACUGGACGGCUAGAGUCUGGUAGGGGGAUCUGGAAUUCCUGGUGUAGCGGUGGAAAUGCGCAGAUAUCAGGAGGAACACCGGUGGCGAAGGCGGGACUCUGGGCCGAUACUGACGCUGAGGAGCGAAAGCGUGGGGAGCAAACAGG